AGAUUAUCGAAUGAAGUGAGGAUCUGCUGUCACAGUUUCUUACUCUCCACUUACUGCAUUACUUUCUGCACUCACAGGAGUUGUAAAUCAGGAGGAAAUGUUCUCCUCCCACGGUCUGUGACGGGGACUCUCCCUCGUUGUUAAGACUCUCUGCUUCCCUCUGGUGGCGUCACCUGAACUAUUACAGGGAGGGGCUUGCGUGUCCUGGAUGGACCAGAUUUUAUCUGCUGGACCACCAACGUCUCCCCCCGUCAUCUCACGUGGAGCCUCCGACCAGCCGGUGCCCCACCAGGGAGGAAAGCCUUCACUCGGGUGAAGAAUAGACUUUUAGACUCGGCUUGUUUUGUUCCUCCCGCUGGGAAAACCACACCUCAUUCUUCUAAUGCAACCACUUUGGGAACAUGACAUUGCCCCCCCUGCAGAGCUUCUCACGACUCAGAGCUCAUGAUUCUGCUUUCAUGCACCGAAAACUGAACUGAACUUUUUUUUUUUUUUUUGUCAUCCACCUCAAAGCGCCUAUUUGUCGCUUGUUCCCGCGGCGACGACUCUCCACGAGUCUCACCGGUGACGUUUCUGUCUUUACUUCUCGAUCCACCGUGUUUUAGUUUUCGCCGUGCUGGGAUCGGUCCGAGGCUUCUGUUGGACCUGUAUUUGGCGCUGUAGUGGCCUUUUUUCUCGAUGGGUGGCGCACACAUUGUUUUGCACGCUGCCUAACGCGACUGACCCGUCUUCAUGAAGCGAGGGCGUACAGCGGGGACGGCAAGGAAAUAAAGCAUUUUAAAUAUUGUAAUAUCAAAGGAACAUCACAUGUAUAUUGUAUUUCCCCUCUUAGGUGCCAUUGAGUGCAAUCAACUGUUUUCCAAUCCGUGAGACAAUGUCGUGACACACAAGCACCCACCAGGUGGCCGAUGAAGGUGUUGUGGAAUACAAAGAUUGAUGUUCUAUGAUGUUUUGUAGGGUUCUCGAAAAAUGAUAUUUUAAAAACUAAUCGGAAGGAGGAGACGAGAGAUGAAAUAAUUCACACAGAACUAGUUGUUGAAGCAGGAAACUAAGGCGGCACCACGAAUGAAGUAGAGCAUUGAAAUUACUUUAUUGAUAAAUGCACGGCCCAAAAUGCAAAUGCAUUUCUUUACUUGAUUGAAGAAAAUUAAAGGAGGCGAAUGCGGAGCGCUGUUAAAUCCCGCCCCCCUUCCCCCCCUCGGUGACAUCAUCUCAUUCAGAAACCCUUUUGACGGGACUCGGAAGUGUGACGAAGGAAGUCGGUCUGAAUGCGAAGUGUAACGUACUGUGUACUGUGAUGCACCCGGGAGUACUGUGGUGGGUUUCUGUGAAUCGGUGCAUUCUGGGUAAUAUCGGCUAGAUGUGGCGCUUUGAUCCCCCGUAUUUUUUUUUAACCCUUUUACAAAGUUAGUUUUUCUGUGUAAAAAAAGAAGAAGAAUAUAUACAGUAUCUAUAGCUAGGUCUACAGAAGGCAGGUUAAUGGCGUGGAGUACAGGAUAGGUCUUUGUAGAACUUGUCGUAGCCUAAAACCGCUCAGUAUUCAAGCUUUUCGAUGCCUCACGUAAAUUAAAAAGUUUUUAAAAAAGGGACCUCACUACUAACUAAUGUUACUCAACAGGUAUGAAUCACGUUAAUGCUUUUUCACUUUUGCGUUGGCUUGUUUUGGUGCUCUGGUUGACACACAAAUGAUGCUUCAAUCUACAGCUGGCAACAUUUACUUUUUUUUUUUUUAAUUACACACAAAUGUGUUUCUACUCUGUCAUUCAGUUUUUGUAUGUAGAAUUUUAAUCGGAUCAUUUAGCAUUUGAGCUGAUGAAGAAAUUGUGAAUGUUAAUAAAAUGAUUUACUCUCUAUAGG
ensembl:lncRNA